UUUCGGGCGAACCCGUGCACUCCGAGGGCUUUUCCAGUCACCUCCGACCGAGUUACGGUAUUUGGAAGGUAUAAAUCUCUUCCUCUUUCUUUAUUCUUCAUGUUCGUACCUAGAUCGGAGCUUGAAGCCCCCGUUUUCAAGUGACCGAAGCUGUAGCAGCUCCGACCUUCUUCUUCCUCGGCAUCAGGCCAUCCAGCCUCUCCCAUUUCCUCCCAUCGGGCCUUAGGCCCGUGUUGUCUUAGGCCCAGUACCCUAACCCAUUCAGUUUUUCUUUUUAGUUAUUUAAUUUUUAAAACCCAAAGGGCUCGGGCCCUAGUUUUGAAUGGCCUUGGGCCGGUUAUAAAUCAAGGGCUUAAAGCCCCGUUUUCUGUUAGUGAGGCCUUAGGGCCUUGUGCCUGUGUGUGUGUGUUUAGGCAUGCACAUGCAUACCGUGCAUGUGUGUAUGUGUGUGUGUUGUUAAGUAUAUGUUUGGGCUUAAGCCCAAACCCCUUUCCAAACCCUAAACCCAUCCAAACCCAAUUCCCUUAUUUUAUUAGUUUAACCCAAUCUUUUAGAAAAUCCUUUUAUUUAAUUAUUACAUUCUUGUUCUUAGGUAAAAUUGCUAGUGGAGAAAUUCUAUAUCCUUAUUCGCGCGACUCUUCUGCUAAGGAAUAUUUAUGAGUGGACCCCUUCUAAAAUUACAUGAUUUGAUAAUUUAAUUGCAUAAAUGAUUAGCAUGCCUACGGAUUUAUAAUUUGAUUUAUGUGAAGCCUGUUGAUUGAAUAUAUUGAUUUUCAUCUCGUGUUUUGGUGAGGAAAUAAUUGUUAGCCUAUAUUGAGCUAUAUUUUAAUAUAUCGUAUUUUCUAUAAAACCAUGAACUGGUAGACUAUCUGAUAGAUGACGAUAGGAUGCUAGAACAUGUUUUUGAACCCCUCUUUAUAGUGUAGACGAUAAUCGGUAAUCUAUGCUAUGAAGUGGUUAUUUAUGAGAUGCGUAAAUAUUUGUGCGUACCUAGUAAACACUAUGCCACCUGGGGCAAGGAACUGGUGUUGGCAUUUAGGCCGAGAGAAAUAAUCCCUAGUUACGGGCUGAGGGACAUGGAGCAGGUAUUGGGCCGGGAGUUGGUAAUCUCUGGCUACGGGCGCAGAGACCACGGAGUAGGCAUUGGGCCGGGAGUUUAUUUAUUCGGUGAUCUUACUAGCAGCACACCGCGCUUACGAGAUGAUUUAUGAUGCGUUUACUGUUUUGAUUUCUGCAAUAUGAUUUUUGAGAUAUUUGGCAUGCUAGGAUUUUUAUUAAAUCCAUCACUUAUUAUGCUAGUAGUUUUCAUUUAUAUAAACUGUGGGGGUUAGUAUCUUGAUAACUGUUUUAUUAUUAUCGUACAUAUGAACUUGGUCCACUCAUCUUUGUUUUGCGCCCCUAUUCAGGUCAUAGAAACGAGGACUACGACUGGACGUACGAGGCAUUCCCCUACCAGUAGUACUCUAUCACCCACUUGUGUGAUAUCUUG
rnacentral:lncRNA from 1 species